rnacentral:rRNA from 1 species
UACGUAGGGGGCAAGCGUUGUCCGGAUUUAUUGGGCGUAAAGAGCGUGUAGGCGGCCAUGUAGGUCCGUUGUGAAAACUCGAGGCUCAACCUCGAGACGCCGAUGGAAACCAUGUGGCUAGAGUCCGGAAGAGGAGAGUGGAAUUCCUGGUGUAGCGGUGAAAUGCGCAGAUAUCGGGAGGAACACCUAUGGCGAAGGCAGCUCGCUGGGACGUUACUGACGCUGAGACGCGAAAGCGUGGGGAGCAAACAGG